rnacentral:rRNA from 1 species
GAUGAACGCUAGCGGCAGGCCUAAUACAUGCAAGACGAACGGUAAGUUGAGUAGCAAUACCUGACCUAGAGUGUCGUACGGGUGCGUAACACGUAUGCAACCUACCCAUAACAGGAGGAUAGCUCCCCGAAAGGGGAAUUAACCCUCCAUAGUAAUAUUGAAUGGCAUCAUUUGGUACUUAAAACUCCGGUGGUUAUGGAUGGGCAUGCGUCUGAUUAGUUAGUUGGCGGGGUAACGGCCCACCAAGGCGAUGAUCAGUAGGGGAACUGAGAGGUUGAUCCCCCACACUGGCACUGAGAUACGGGCCAGACUCCUACGGGAGGCAGCAGUAGGGAAUAUUGGUCAAUGGAUGGAAGUCUGAACCAGCCAUGCCGCGUGCAGGAAGAAGGCCUUAUGGGUUGUAAACUGCUUUUGCCAGGGGAUAAAAUAGCUGUGCGCAGCGAAUUGCAGGUACCUGGCGAAUAAGCCACGGCUAACUACGUGCCAGCAGCCGCGGUAAUACGUAGGUGGCAAGCGUUGUCCGGAUUUAUUGGGUUUAAAGGGUGCGUAGGCGGCCCUGUAAGUCAGUGGUGAAAUACUCCAGCUUAACUGGAGGGGUGCCAUUGAUACUGCAGGGCUUGAGUGGAGUAGAAGUAGGCGGAAUUGACGGUGUAGCGGUGAAAUGCUUAGAUAUCGUCAAGAACACCGAUAGUGAAGACAGCUUACUAUGCUUCAACUGACGCUGAGGCACGAAAGUGUGGGGAUCAAACAGGAUUAGAUACCCUGGUAGUCCACACUGUAAACGUUGAUGACUCGCUGUUGGCGAUACACAGCCAGCGGCCAAGCGCAAGCGAUAAGUCAUCCACCUGGGGAGUACGCCGGCAACGGUG